AGUGAACGCUGGCGGUAGGCCUAACACAUGCAAGUCGAACGGCAGCACAGUAAGAGCUUGCUCUUACGGGUGGCGAGUGGCGGACGGGUGAGGAAUACAUCGGAAUCUACUUUUUCGUGGGGGAUAACGUAGGGAAACUUACGCUAAUACCGCAUACGACCUACGGGUGAAAGCAGGGGAUCUUCGGACCUUGCGCGAUUGAAUGAGCCGAUGUCGGAUUAGCUAGUUGGCGGGGUAAAGGCCCACCAAGGCGACGAUCCGUAGCUGGUCUGAGAGGAUGAUCAGCCACACUGGAACUGAGACACGGUCCAGACUCCUACGGGAGGCAGCAGUGGGGAAUAUUGGACAAUGGGCGCAAGCCUGAUCCAGCCAUACCGCGUGGGCGAAGAAGGCCUUCGGGUUGUAAAGCCCUUUUGUUGGGAAAGAAAAGCAGCAGGUUAAUACCCCGCUGUUCUGACGGUGCCCAAAGAAUAAGCACCGGCUAACUUCGUG
rnacentral:rRNA from 1 species